CGCGGGGUCGCCUGGCUGCAGCCGCAGGGGCUGUGCGGGCUGCGACCAGGCUGCGCAUCUUCAGGCCAUUUCGAUAGGAAGCGCACCACUUUGCAUUCCACCUUGCACGCAGUGAACCUCCGGGGCCCCUUUUCCCUCCGUGUCCUCAGCGACGCUUCCCCGUUUUCGCAGGUGUGAGGAGGUGGACGUUGCAAAGGCAGCUUUAACUUGCAUCGUGGUAAUUGGAGCCUGGAUACCCUUCUGAGGAGACCACCACACCACCACUAGCACUUCCCAUAGGCCAUGCCUUCAUGUGUCACACUGGACAGCAGGAUUUCAACAAAGAAAGUUGGAGGUGAGAGGAAGAAGGGCACAGAAUUCAGAGCAUAGCAGUUGGCUUGGUGAACACCAUCCCACUUCCCCCAUGAAGAAUCAAAUAGAUUUAUCCUCUCACACACUGGAGGACUAAGAAUCCCUCCCUUCCUGCUCCUCUGUCACCACAGACCUGCCUUCUGUCACUACAGAUCUGUAUUUCUGAAGAUUCUCUAAGUGGGGAUAGACCACAUAGAUUCUUCUUUGUUGUUGUUCUUUAAUUAACUUUAUUCAGCGUGACUUUGUAGACAUUUACCCACGUUGUGUAUAGACUGAGAAUGACCUCCUUGUACUUGCAUCAAUAUAGUGAGGGUCACGUUCAGCAAAACCCACAACUCACGCCACACUCAAUGGUGAGAAACUGAAGCUUUUCCUCUAAGUUUAAACACAAGACAAGAAUACCCACUCUCAUGAUUAUUCUUCAAGAUAGUGUUGAAAGUCCUAGUCAGAGUAAUUAGACCAUAAAAAGAAAUAAAAGGUCUACAAAUUUGAAACAAAGAAAUAAAACUCUAUUUGCAGAUGACAUGAGAGUCCUAGGUUUCACUAAGAAACUACUAGAAACAAAAUGCCAAUAUAGUAAGGGAUCAAUAUACAAAAAGAAAAAGGGGGGCAGGCUGUAUUUGUAUAUUCAAGCAAUGGAGCAGAGAAGAAGGAAAUCACUUAUGCCACUGGAAGCCAUGAAUCCAAGAGAUCAGACUGCAAUUCUCUUUUUUUCUGACCUGGAUGUCCAGAGUAUGCAAUGGUUAUUCUGCAGGGUGCUAAGUGAAGAAAUACUAGAAGCCACUUGCUAUGUUGAUGUAUUAAUGCUGGCAGAUUGGACCAACUGCCACAAGGAGGAAAGAAAGACAAUGCUAGAAAAAGAAAGAAGGGAGGGAGGGAGGAAGGAAGGAAGGAAGGAAAUGCCAGAGUACUUCCCUGGUGCUGUAUG